rnacentral:rRNA from 1 species
UACGUGGGGGGCAAGCGUUGUUCGGAAUUACUGGGCGUAAAGGGCUCGUAGGCGGCCAACUAAGUCAGAUGUGAAAUCCCUCGGCUUAACCGGGGAACUGCGUCUGAUACUGGAUGGCUUGAGUUUGGGAGAGGGAUGCGGAAUUCCAGGUGUAGCGGUGAAAUGCGUAGAUAUCUGGAGGAACACCGGUGGCGAAGGCGGCAUCCUGGGCCAACACUGGCGCUGAGUGAGCGAAAGCCAGGGGAGCGAACGGG